CAAUAGCGUAUAUUAAAGUUGUUGCAGUUAAAAAGCUCGUAGUUGGAUUUCUGGUUGAAGCGACCGGUCGGGCGUUGAUUCGUCUGCACUGGAGUCGGUUUUGGCCAUCCUCUAGGAAAGUGCGUCUGGUAUUAAGUUAUCGGGCGUAUGAUCCUGGUCUUUUACUGUGAAAAAAUUAGAGUGUUUAAAGCAGGCCUUCGCCUUGAAUACAUUAGCAUGGAAUAAUAAGAUAGGACUUUGGUCUAUUUUGUUGGUUUGCAGACCGAAGUAAUGAUUAAUAGGGAUAGUUGGGGGUAUUUAUAUUCCGAUGUCAGAGGUGAAAUUCUUAGAUUUUCGGAAGAUAAACUUAUGCGAAAGCAUUUACCAAGGAUGUUUUCAUCAA
rnacentral:rRNA from 1 species